AGAAAAGCUUGUUUCCAUUUGUCACACUCUGUUCUUGUUCUGUGUGUAAAGAGGUUGCUAUGGGAUUAUUUUCUAGAGUUACAACCUCCAUAUAUAAUCUGAGAAGAUCAUGCUGAGAAGAAAUGCACCAUAAGGCAAGUCAGAUGAGAUGCUUGCUGGUCAUCAAGAAAGUGGCACUCACAUUUUGAAGCCAAUCCAAACCAAGAGUGGCGUGGGUUCCUUUGACGGUCAUUUCUUAGAAGACUGAUUUAAUGACCUGCAAUGGGGAACACCGAGGCUCAUUCUGAAAUGGUUUUGGAUUUGCUCAGCAAACACAUAGCAAAGGGAUCUGCUUCAACCCAACAGAACAGAAUCGCAUUUUCUGUGGCCAUCAGCAUUCAGUCCUGGAGACAUGCCUGCAUUUACAGAGAUGGAGCCAAGCACCAAAGUCAACAUGGUUCUUAAAAAAUUACUUACGCCAUUUAAAAAUACUCCUUCUGUACUACAAGUAACACACAGAGUUUCAACAUCAUGGGGUUUUAUCAGCACGUAACAAAUUUCUCCAUAAAUUUGUCUCCAAGGUGGGGCUCGACAUCCAUUUGAAAAUUCAUAAUCUGAAACCAAUUAUUGAUCAAUUAAA